UGCCAAGAGGUAGAAAUUAAAGGUAGGCAUGGUGGUCACAGUCCACUAAAAAACUAGUAUUCCAACUUCUAUUCCCUGGCACACUACUAAAUAGGCAACCAGGGAUUUAAAAAAUGGUUUCUGGUGUCCAGGUAAGUUUGCAUAAAACCAAAAUAAAACUGUUUAAUACUGGCCCACUACAUUAAUCUAUGGUGCUAACACGUGCUGUGAACCGUGGGUCAGGGCUGGGGAUAAAGUUUGCAACCAUUUUUUUGGGGGGUGGGGGAAGAGGAGGGGCCAUCUUUUUUGUGCCACAACCAUUAGCAUCUCCCAAGGUCCUGCUAACCACGGGCAAGAAAUGUUGCCCUAGGAUAAAGAUGGAGGAAACAAAUCUUGAUGAAAUAUUGCCUCUGUGUAUAAGCUUUGAACUUCUGAACUUAAUUCAAUGAUUUUAAUUUAGGUACUCAGAAACAGAAACAACUUUUCAUUGGUGGAGAAGCUUGUCUAUGGGGAGAAUAUGUGGAUGCAACUAACCUCACUCCAAGAUUAUGGCCUCGGGCAAGUGCUGUUGGUGAGAGACUCUGGAGUUCCAAAGAUGUCAGAGAUAUGGAUGACGCCUAUGACAGACUGACAAGGCACCGCUGCAGGAUGGUCGAACGUGGAAUAGCUGCACAACCUCUUUAUGCUGGAUAUUGUAACCAUGAGAACAUGUAAAAAAUGGAGGGGAAAAAGGCCACAGCAAUCUGUACUACAAUCAACUUUAUUUUGAAAUCAUGUAAAAUAAGAUAUUAGACUGUUUUUUGAAUAAAAUAUUUUUAUUGAUUGAA
rnacentral:lncRNA from 1 species